UGCGAUUUCUCUCUCCUCUCCAACCGGAAAUUAUUAUUCUAAUCAGCGCAAUGUCCAUUGCCAAAUUACCACGUUAUGGAGUGUUUUUCUCCAAAAGUGAGUUCGGACGAUGUCCCACAGCUAAAACCACAAAGUCAAAGUGCCCUGUAGCAAAAUUUGCCUAUAAUCUACUAUCUUCUCUAACCCUAUAGUUUAACAAAUGGUUUCACUCAUCGCUUAUUCUUUCAUUCCUCGUGUAAUGGUCCGGAUCUUCGGCUCCCUGAAUUCCGUCGCCCCCCUCCUCCGCACUCUUGCGGUCUCGCCCUCCUCGCGAUCGACUCCCCUCGCCCCGACUCACCGCCGGUCUCCUCCCCUCCGCCACAGAUUCCUCCCUCCCUCCUCUUUGCAAUUCCACCAUCCUCUUUCCAGAGGGGCUCUCACCCUUGCUCCCUCCCCUAACCCUAAUCUCGCCCGCGCCCCCACCAGCUUCUACCGCUGACCGUCGCGCCGUGCCGCCCCGCCUCGCCCUCUUCAACCGCCGACCGUCCCGUCGCCCUGCAUCUUGCCCGCGCCGCCGCCGUCGUGUUAUCCCGCCACCGGUACUGCGGAUCCCCAAUCUCCGUCGCGAUCAACAGCAAAACUACUCUUCAAGAACUGUAACCUAAGAACAUGAGUGUUUGUGCAAAAUUUAGUGGGUUAUUGGGGUAACCACUAGGUAGUGCCCUGUCCCCCUGUGUUCCUGCUGCAAACACCUGGGAGGCUGCAGAAUUAGCAUGGAUCAGGCAAAAGGGUUGACGUGCUCCAGUGUAAGAAUUGCUUGAGACUCGGUUGUCAAGAGCGCUGCUUUGACGACUUCCUCCUCGGCCUCCGCCUCAACUGCCACCGCCGCCACUGCCGCGUCGUCCGACAAUAUUUGGUUCAUGGUAGCACAUGGGUUUGGUAAAUCUAUCCCAAUGAAAAAUGGUGGUAUUUGAUCAUUCCCUUCGUUCCUUUUCUAUAGCUUUGGUUAACCUUCUGGGUGAGGUGCACUACAAUUCCUUGUAUGACAUUGAAGGUGAGUUCUUUUGCUUUUCUGUGAUCUGGGAGUGAAGGAAAGGUUUCCUACAAUUCCUCGGUUUUUCCAAUUUGCAUGAUUUCUUGUAUAGCUGCUCAUCUUCCUGUAACCUGCAGUGAAGACUUAUGUCCUUAUCCCCCGGUCUUAUAAAUCCUGCAGAAUUUGCACAUUAGAGGUGACCUUUUAAUGGAUUUUCUAUUUUAAAUAUAAUUUGCAGCAGACCGUAGUUGUCUGAAAAUCCUUAAUUUUUCUCCUCUGUUUCUGUGAAACUGUAAUUGAAUUGCCUAUAUAUGGAAUGAUAAAUAGCUGAUGAUAUGUUUUAGUCAUCAUUUUAUUUUAAGUUCAGGCUAAACUAAAUUCAUGAUCUAUCUUUAGCUUUUCUAUUGAAUUUUCUAGCGCUUAAGCUAAAGAGUUAGUCACCAGUAACAAAAUUUACUAAUAUCAUGAAGACCAAUGAAUGUUUGGUGCGUGGUCGGAAUCCACCAACCUUGAAACUCCCUGCCAUCCAUAUGUAGCUUUUUGAGAUUUCAUAUAUAGCUUCAUAAUGUAGGAUGUUGUGAAAUAACUAUAUGACUUUCCAUCAGAAGUUAGUACUUUUAGCUUGCUUUCAUAUUUGGUUUACUGUCUGCAUACUCAAAUACACCUGAAACUAAAAUGCAUGUUUUCUUUUGCACAUCAGUGCAAUGUUGUUUCCCUUGAGGUGAUGAUGAUAUGACCAUGGGAACACUUUACUUCACAGCAGUUGGUGGCUGUCCAUCCAUGGCAAAUAUUCUAGGAAUAGAUCAUGUCUAUUCAGAUGCAACAUUAUUUGAUCUGCCUUCAAAACCUGAAAAGAUUGCGAUAGUAGGAAGAGGGUAUAUUAGUUGGAGUUCGCUGGCAUUUACACCGGCUCAAUAAGUGAUGUUCGUUUUCAAACUGCAUUGCCUGACCAAAAAUAUUAUCAGUGGGAACUAGGUUGUUCUCAGGUUUUUAAUGGUUGUCACAUGGAUAGUUCUUUCUACUACUUUCGCUAUGUAGGUGUACAUCUGUGGGAGUAAUAUAUGUUCCAUGUGUCUCUGCAUCAACUAAAAUACCUGAUGGAUGUACACAUUUUUAAACAAGUUGAGAUUGAUCUGAGUGGAUGGAGUUAUAAGUAUUAGAAAAAAAAAGGAUGGUUCGAACGGAACACAACAACCGUGGUUGAUUAAACUGACAAAAUAGCAUUUGAAUUGAUAUCAUUAGUCUUUUUCCUCCCCAAGAGAGAAAACAACACAAAAGAUCAUUAGCCUUUCUAGCUCUGCUUUAGAUGCAACUAAGCUCAGCACUUGCGUAGAAUCAAAGUUCUCUGAAACAAGGGAUACAUCUGAAUGUCUCAUCUAAAUCAUCUGAACAAAUGCAUUUGAUUUGGUAUUCUUUGUCUGAAUUAGUGAGUCAUAUUUGUGCUGCAGAUGCACUGCCUUCCUGUAAUUUAUCUCCAUUAUCUUCAUUUGCGGUUACUCUCUUUUGGUCGUCUGUCGGAAAUUCAGAAUGAAAGUUGAAUGGUUGGGCACUUUCGGUUAGACAAGUGUUGCCUGCUGUUUGGAAGUAAAUCAUCAUCAUCUGAGCCUGAGCUGCACUUCCCUGGCAUUUCUUGUCCGGGACAACUGUGACACUAUUUUUCUUAAAUUGUCAAUCAUGACUUUGCACAAAUUUCAUGAUUUUUCACCCAUCAUCAUAGUGCAUUGUCAAUUUUGUUGUCCUUCCAUGAAAAGGAUUUGGAAUUGAAUUCCUUGUUUGUAUCGUAUUAAACGACAACUUGGUUUCUGAUAGCAAUGCAGUGAAAAUAAGUAGUAUAAUGCAACAAUUUUGUCUGUAUGUGUUAGCAAAAUCCAAGUCAGCCUUUACCAUGAAAUAUGAAUCACAAGUCAAGCAUAUGUGCUUAAUCACCCGUUUUAGCACCUGCAUGAUAUGAAUCAUCUGGAGUUAUCCCUGGGUAGAAAACGUGCAGGCUUAUCAUAUUGUUCGGCGAGUUGUUGAUGGAAGCUUUUUCAAAGUUGGUCCCUUGACUCUACAUGUCUGUAAAUGAGUUUUAUACCAGGGGACCGGGAGCACAUUUCUUACCAUUUCCUUCAUGGUUUACUCCCUUUGCCAUGGAUAUCUUAUGAUUUUCACGAAACAUAAAAGCACCUCAUGUUAGGAAUCCUCCCCAUUUCAGCAGCAAAUGCAUUGCUUCAAAACAAUGAAUCCAGUUCCAUUUUAUUUUUUUAAUAGCAAAUCCCUGAUCAUACAUUUUGCAUCUUUAGUGUAUCGUAGAUCAGUUGAUAACUACGGAUCAUUCAUACAUGAUUCUGGCCGCUCCAUAAUUUGCUUAUAAUUUUAUUCUCAAAUCAAAUGUAAAGAUGUUCAUAAUUACUGCAUAAUUUCUUCUGCAUGAUUCUUUGUUCCUGCAAAUGUUGUUCUUCUCCUCCCUCUACUUGGCCUCAGAUCAAAUGAUUUGAGGGGCAGAAAACGAAACAUGAUGGUAUUCAGUAUCAAAGCUAAGUUUUUUUUUAUUCUUUUGCAGUCAUAAAAUUUGAUGGAAUACCAAUGCCUGUUGCGGGGUAAUUUGCCCUCAAUCUGAGGUAUUGCCAUGAGUAUUAUCAUUUUCUCCCUGUAAAUUGCAACAAGGUGUUUUAUUAAAUGGCUGCUUCGUUAUAACAUGGUGUUCUGUUCAUGUGAACUUGUGAAAUGGCUGAGAAGUUCUUUUUAGCUAAAGUGCAGUAGUUGUGCUAUGUUGUGAAGAGUGAAAUGAAGUAUUAGCAAAAGGGUGAGACAUGGGUUAAAGUUCCAGUGAUAUGAAAUCGUUCAUCCCUGUCUUGAUUCCUGGAAGAUGAUAUUUUUUUCCAAGUAGCUUUGAUGAAAUGUAGCAAUGAGUAAAUGACCAAAAUUGUAAUAAUCUUUGUAUGGAUUUGAACACCAUCGAUAUGAUUUUUUAAAUGAACUUCUUGUGUUAUAAA